UACGGGGGGGGCAAGCGUUGUUCGGAAUUACUGGGCGUAAAGGGCUCGUAGGUGGCCAACUAAGUCAGACGUGAAAUCCCUCAGCUUAACUGGGGAACUGCGUCUGAUACUGGAUGGCUUGAGUUUGGGAGAGGGAUGCGGAAUUCCAGGUGUAGCGGUGAAAUGCGUAGAUAUCUGGAGGAACACCCGUGGCGAAGGCGGCCGGCUGGGCCGCGGCCGACGCUGAGGCGCGAAGGCGUGGGGAGCGAACGGG
rnacentral:rRNA from 1 species